AUCCUACAAGUUAUUUGGGCAGAAACCUGUAGUUUGGGCAGAAAACUCUCAAACCUCCCUUGAGAAGGAUAAUUCAAACUUACACUCAUUUUUCUCUUUCUUUUUCGUUUACUUCGGAGAAAUGAAGUUAUCUUGCUUGUCGCCUGAGACUCACAUCAAUCCACAAACUCAUUCCUGGUUGAUACACUGCGCUCGUAAACUGGAGAAUUUCUCAUGAGUCUAGUGCAACUUCUUCGGAUGGAGUACACCUCUUUAGUGGAAAUAAUAAGAUGAUAGCAAGCAAGGUUCGAUUGUAGUUGAAAGUUGAGACUCGGACCUGUGCACUUGGGCCGAAGAAGAUUGUUCUACUUUGUGUACUACCUUCAUGAAUCGGACAAGGAAAGACGCAUACAUAACUCAUGCUGAAGGUGUGAGGCCAAGGCACAGUUUUUCCUACGCCCAGUUACUUUAGGGGUUGCAAGCUUCUGGGCCGAAGCUCCUCGUCACAAACUGCCUCAAUCGUAUACGAGAUUCACGGCUUUACAAUGAGGUAAGGGUCUACGUAUAUGCAACAAUGGCUCAGGACACUCUGUGAUGAGCAUUUCGCGACCAAGAGACGUUGAUUCCUCCUUCAGAUUUUGAAGGAACUCAUGGUGACUCCUCCAGCACGGGAGCUGCUGCUGGAGAUGGAAAUCUUGCAACGUAAUAGUCUUGGAACUGGAAUCUCCGAAAGGCCAAGGGGAAGCUGUACGUGGGUUCUACGACUCACACGGCAUUACAGUUUUUGUUACAGUGACCACACAUGACAAUGACCUUCUUACUACUGAUUUUGAACAUUGUAGGAAGAUUCUCUCGUACUGUUCUACGUUGAAGGGAAACUGCCAGCGUAAGUGCGAUACCGUGGUGCGCAAAUUCAAUGCACGGUACUGCUGAGCAACAGUUUCCGGCUGUUUAAACAAUGAUGGAUACUGGCGUCAACCACAACCAGCGACGUACCCCACAAAAACAUAAUUGGACAGAAUUUACAUAUCUCGUGGAGUCCAUUCACCAU
rnacentral:lncRNA from 1 species